rnacentral:rRNA from 1 species
CGGGUUAAUAUUCCCGUACUUGGUGUUACUGCGAAGGGGGGACGGAGAAGGCUAUGUUGGCCGGGCGACGGUUGUCCCGGUUUAAGCGUGUAGGCUGGUUUUCCAGGCAAAUCCGGAAAAUCAAGGCUGAGGCGUGAUGACGAGGCACUACGGUGCUGAAGCAACAAAUGCCCUGCUUCCAGGAAAAGCCUCUAAGCAUCAGGUAACAUCAAAUCGUACCCCAAACCGACACAGGUGGUCAGGUAGAGAAUACCAAGGCGCUUGAGAGAACUCGGGUGAAGGAACUAGGCAAAAUGGUGCCGUAACUUCGGGAGAAGGCACGCUGACACGUAGGUGAAGUGAUUUACUCAUGGAGCUGAAGUCAGUCGAAGAUACCAGCUGGCUGCAACUGUUUAUUAAAAACACAGCACUGUGCAAACACGAAAGUGGACGUAUACGGUGUGACGCCUGCCCGGUGCCGGAAGGUUAAUUGAUGGGGUCAGCGCAAGCGAAGCUCCUGAUCGAAGCCCCGGUAAACGGCGGCCGUAACUAUAACGGUCCUAAGGUAGCGAAAUUCCUUGUCGGGUAAGUUCCGACCUGCACGAAUGGCGUAAUGAUGGCCAGGCUGUCUCCACCCGAGACUCAGUGAAAUUGAACUCGCUGUGAAGAUGCAGUGUACCCGCGGCAAGACGGAAAGACCCCGUGAACCUUUACUAUAGCUUGACACUGAACAUUGAGCCUUGAUGUGUAGGAUAGGUGGGAGGCUUUGAAGUGUGGACGCCAGUCUGCAUGGAGCCGACCUUGAAAUACCACCCUUUAAUGUUUGAUGUUCUAACGUGGACCCGUUACCCGGGUUGCGGACAGUGUCUGGUGGGUAGUUUGACUGGGGCGGUCUCCUCCUAAAGAGUAACGGAGGAGCACGAAGGUUGGCUAAUCCUGGUCGGACAUCAGGAGGUUAGUGCAAUGGCAUAAGCCAGCUUGACUGCGAGCGUGACGGCGCGAGCAGGUGCGAAAGCAGGUCAUAGUGAUCCGGUGGUUCUGAAUGGAAGGGCCAUCGCUCAACGGAUAAAAGGUACUCCGGGGAUAACAGGCUGAUACCGCCCAAGAGUUCAUAUCGACGGCGGUGUUUGGCACCUCGAUGUCGGCUCAUCACAUCCUGGGGCUGAAGUAGGUCCCAAGGGUAUGGCUGUUCGCCAUUUAAAGUGGUACGCGAGCUGGGUUUAGAACGUCGUGAGACAGUUCGGUCCCUAUCUGCCGUGGGCGCUGGAGAACUGAGGGGGGCUGCUCCUAGUACGAGAGGACCGGAGUGGACGCAUCACUGGUGUUCGGGUUGUCAUGCCAAUGGCACUGCCCGGUAGCUAAAUGCGGAAGAGAUAAGUGCUGAAAGCAUCUAAGCACGAAACUUGCCCCGAG